AAAUCUUGAGCAAGGCACUUAACCCUAAUUGCUAUGUAAGUCACUCUGGGUAAGAGUGUCUGCUAAAAAAUGUAUGUUGUUUUAUUGAUAAUGGAGAGGAUCCCCAUUUCCCCUUACUCCCCUAAGGAUAUAUCGCCAGUCAAGUGAUAAGGUGGUUUAAUGGUGGUUUGUACAUACACUGUUUAUAAGGGCACAAGGCGAGACCCAGAUGCAGACACAGUAGGUUUGAGUCUCUGAUAUUAAUUACAAUCCAAGGGGUAGGCAAGAGAAUGUUCAUGGACAGGCAAAAGAUCAAAACCAGGUCAGAGUCCAGGAGGUACAGAGUGACAGGCAGGCUCAAGGGCAGGGCAAGCAGAAUGGUCAGGCAGGCGGGUUCAGAGUCCAGACAGGCAAGGGUCACAAUCAGGGGGGCUAGCAAAACAGAGCGAAGGGAAAAAGCAGGAGACCGGGAAACAACACACUGGUUGACUUAACAAACAAGACGAACUGGCAACAGACAAGCAGGGAACACAGGAAUAAGUACCCAGGGACCAAUGAGGAAAACAGGUGACACCUGGAGAAGGGUGGAGACAAUCACAAAGACAGGUGAAACAGAUCAGGAUGUGGCACUGUUACAUACAAGGACCAGGGGUGGAAUUUCCACAUUUUGACUGUGACAUUUUUUCCCUUUCCAAAAACUUUUUCCCCUAUACCUUUUCAGGCCUCUGGGAUUUGUGGUGGGAACUGAGAACAACUGAGCACAUUACAACACACACUGGAACUUGUCCCAGUACUUGUUCCAGUCAUCACAACCAUGAGGUCACAGAACAUCUACCUCUUACGCAACCUACCCAAGAUAUCAAAUGCUCUCCUUAAAAGAUGCCUGACGAAUCAAAGUGAAUUCUUCCGCUGCUCUAUGUUCGCUACAUAGAUCAGUCUUAAGCUGCCAUCAUUGAAGUAAUUUUUUAAAAUGUCAAAAUAAGGGGUAUUGCUUUACCCAGGUGUGUCCUGGCUCUGGCUCAGCCCAUCGAUUUCUGGGACCAAUCAUAACGGUUAGAAUGUUUUUCCAUUCUAGAAUUCGUAGGGGAGGAACUCAGAGCCAGAUUCAGAAACGGGAUUAAAUUAUUCUGGCCCGGGAGCCCCGAGUUGGCGUGUUUCGCACCGGGUGAAAGUUGAUUGCAUUAGUUUUGGAACCGGGCUGCCUCCCAGGUGUGAGCCAGGUGCCCUAUUCAAAGCCCAUGGCGAAGUUGGCUCAAAUGAAAGUAAUUAGCACGUGGAGUAAUGAGUAGGAUUAUGUUUUGUCAAAUGCAAAAGUGAUUGCUUUUGAUAACGUUAUAUCUGCCUUCCCAAAGAAAACUAGUUAGAAAUUUCAAACAUAUUGUAGCGACCCUGGUUUAUGAACAUGGAUUUUCGACUCUGCCACUUGAGCAGGCUUUUGUGGCACAGUCGAUAGCGCACUGGACUUUGAGGGUUCGAGAUGUGUUCCCUGCCUGUUUCAUUACAUUGGUGUUGGAAGGGAUCAGACCUGGCAUCCAUGACAGUGUGUGUGCUUGGUCAGUGACCUCAUUCCUGUAAGACUGCGUCCUAUGGUCUAGUGUGAGGACGCGCUCUUUGAAAGGAGGGAGUUGUGUUGCGACCCUGGUUUAUAAGCGAAGAUAUCGACUUUGUCACUUGAGCAUGCUUUUGUGGCACAGUCGAUGACCCGCUGGACAAGGCCCGCACGCGGGUGGCAGCCCGGGAUGGCCUUAGCUAAACAGUUUCCCAUGCAUUGUCAAUCAACCCGGAUGUAAUAUAAUUCUGGCCACAUGUUGACUCAGUGGCGCUUCUCCUUGCAGGACGUGGGAUGGGGAAGGGACGCACACACUGUAAACAGGAAUAGGUGCAUCACCGGUCACUGAGCUAGUUAGUCACAUACAUGUACGUUCAGCCUGUUAAUUAUUUCAUUUCGAUUUGACUUAUCUUACGAAGUCAGCAUGGCUUAACAUAGUUUCUUUCGUUUUUGCACUCGACAUUGUUGCUCGAUAGGUAUUUUCAUAGCUAACAUGCUGUCGCUGUUAGCUAGCUAAUGCUAGCAGCGCUGGCUAACCUCAUAUCUGGAUGCCUUACUCUAGUUCAGGAAAGAGAGCAGCAUACUGGUAAGUCAACUUUGCUUUCAAACUUUGUAAUCAUCUGUGGAAUUGUUUUACAUGUAAUCAUACAAGCUAGAUAGAUAGAUGUUUUGUGACAAAGCCUGUUGUCAUUCAUUGGUUGUUUCUUUGGAGCUAGCUAGCUAAACUAUCACUAGCUAGCUAGGUGGAUAAUAAUGUGAUGUACAGUAGGCGACAGUAACGUUAUAGCAUUACUGAAUGACAACAAUAUCGCCUAUAUAGUCACUACUAGUUGGUAAAUUGGUUGAUAUGGGGUGCAGUAGGCUACAGUACAACAUUCCUAAAUUAUAACCUUGUGGCCAGCUAGUAGUUGGUGAUGGGUUAGGGUACAGUAUACAGCAACAAUAGCCUUCCUACUGUUUUGUUAUUUGUUAUUCGUUGGGUCCCUUGACAAAAUUAUGUUAUUUUUGACAUGGUAAAAUAAGCUAAUGGUUGUGUACACUCUCGCUAGAUAGAAUUGUGUGGUUUGGUGGCAGAUUUUCAGAAGAAAAUAGACAUACAGUAUAUCAUCAAUUCUCAAUCAGAUGAGGUACACAGCUAACCCAUAUAGAAUUUUAUUCAUUCUUAAAUGUGGACACUAAUUAUUGUUAAUAUUCCAAUUCUCUAGGCCCUCCAUUCCCAAACCUGAAGCCAACUGUUCCCAGCAGGAAAGACCAGGAAAAAGUGUUGGCUUAAGGUACAACUUCCUAUUGAAGAAAUAUCUGCCAACCUGCUCGGUGGGUGACAGGUAACCGUCUUUCCACCAAGCUGUUCCAGGCCUGGAGUGGCACGCUGGAACUUCCAGAGGCUUUCCACCAAGCUGUUCCAGGCCUGGAGUGGCACGCUGGAACUUCCAGAGGCUUGUAGACCUGAAGCAGUGUGAUGUGGUCCAGAUCUGCCACGCCCAGCAGUUCAGCUGCAGUCACAGCAGUCUUCUGCUGUGGUAGUUAAUUUACCGGCUGCACCAAUGCCUACUACACUGGCCGUGAAAGGAGAAACUUUUGGGUAUUCCCAGAUGGAAACAGUUCUGCCAUGCACUCCACCACUGCCUGACAGCCUCACCCAGAAGUGCAUACAUGGGUCCUAUCAGAGAUGGGUGGCUGACAAGGAAAAAUAAAACAUGCACGCACACACGCACACACAUUAUCCACAAUGUAAAUAAGUUGUAAUUACUUGUUUAAUGUUUGCUCCAUUUUAUUUUAGGAUUGGAGAUCUACUCCUUCAUAUCCAUCCUCAAUAUCUACAUAAUUACUCAAACUAUCUAUCAAAUCAAAGUGUGAUUGAUAAUAUUGUAAAAGACUAUGGCUUAAUGUGUACAGUUUGAGGAAAUUCUGAGUGCUUUUUUCUGAGUUGUAAAACAUGCAUUCCUCUCACACAGACAUUAGACUCAAUGUAAAUCAGUUGUAAUAACUUGUUUAUUUUAUGUAUGGUGAAUUUUAUUUGAUGAAAAUAUCUGCAAUAAAGUACAUUCACAGUUAAA